UUAAAAGUCCCCCUUCCCCCACCCCCAGUCAUCAGAGUUGGGAUCUCUGCCCAGCUCUUCCCUUUUCCCCUUGGACCUUUCCAGCCCUGUGGUUUUUGAAAACAAUUUGGACCCUUCCAGAGCUUGGGAGAGGAGGCCUGGGCCCUGCUCUGGCCCUCUCAGUGGUGAGUCUUGAUUUGUAGCCCAGACUGGACUGGAAUUUGCAACCUUCCUGACUCAGCCUCCUGAGUGCUGGGAUUACAGACCCCGAGCCAGGCUCUGGGCUACAGCUGGAGCAAGGACGAGACUUUGGCUUCAAGAAAUCCCUGGAACAAUAACUUGCAGCUGAGCAGCACAAUUGUUUAUGGUUUGUGGUCUGUGAGGCCCUUUUCCAUAUCCUGUCCCGUGAUCCUGGUGUCGGACGUGGCCGAGACGAGACACUCAGAAACAGACUCUGAGGACAUCCAGGAG
rnacentral:lncRNA from 1 species